CUCAGAACCGCCCGGAGAGAAGCCGCCUUGGAUGGACAGAGGGACGGAGCAGCAAGCAUCCGGCCUCCCCGGCUUCCCUGCAGCGGUCUCCAACUGCUGUCUGCCCGCUGCCCGCCUGCCUGGCAUCUCUCUCCCGGUGGGUCCCUGUUCAUCCCUCCACUCUUUGGUCCCUCCUCUUGGAGGGAAGGUCCUCCCUGCUCUCUGUGUGUCUGUGGCUGAGCCUGAGACCCCUUGAGGCAUAGAGGAGUGCUGUGGGGGAGGGGGAGAGUGGGCUCAGGCUUAGAAAGCUGGCCACGAGUGGUGGUCUCACAGCCGGUCCCCUCUCUAGUCCCCUGCCACUACCCUCUUGGGCCCAGCUGCCAGAAGGGGUGUGAGUGUGUGUGUGGGGGGUCUAUAAAGGACCACACCUGG
rnacentral:lncRNA from 1 species